UUCUCUCUCUCUCCCUCCCUCCCUCUCUCUCUAUCUAUCACACACACACACAGAGAGAGAGAGAGAGAGAGAGAGAGAGAGAGAGAGAGAGAG
rnacentral:miRNA from 1 species